rnacentral:lncRNA from 1 species
AUAUAUAUCCAGUCGGAACAAAACGAAUUAGCUGAUGUAUGUAGCUCCUCCAUUCCAGACACCGAAUCAGAACUCAACUAAGUCAAAACAGUCCAAGAAAUGAAAACUAAAUACAGCAACGGGAAUUGGGUCAUUCAUGGAAAGUUUAAAGCAUUCAAGCAGCAACAGGAAUCUGAAUCACGAGCAGUACAUUCCGCUGCAGAAAAACAAAAACCUAGUUCGAAAAUGGAAGUGCCCAGCUGAGAACUUACAUUGAAAGAGUAGCGAGAUUAAAAUGCAAAGUGACCGCAUCAUAUUCCCGUCAAAUAUUUUAACAAAAUGAUAGUCAGUCUAAUAAAAAGCAAAAAUUGGAGGAACCACAACGAGGUUGUCUUUCGAAAUAUUGCAGUUUCCUGCGAUCAACUCCGCUUACAAAUUUUUUAUGGGAUCCAUCGGCAGGAUUCCCUCAUCUAAAUUUGUUAGUGUCAUGAACCAAACACUGUAAUUUAGCCCCCCAAGCAUCUCAAGCAGAAGCUAUGAGUCAGAAAACAGUAAAUGAACCCAAAAUUUCGGACUAAUCAUUGUGUUCAUACUUCUUAGUCAACAAUGUAAGACCACGAGUCGUUUUCUAAUUUCAUCUAAAUCAGAUAUCUUCCAACGGUCCAAUUUCCAGUUCUUCGUAUGGAAACAAUAACACAACCCCCCCCCCCCCCCCCC